CAGUCGCCGCGGUAAUACCGAGGGUGCGAGCGUUAAUCGGAUUUACUGGGCGUAAAGCGUGCGUAGGCGGCUUCUUAAGUCGGAUGUGAAAUCCCUGAGCUUAACUUAGGAAUUGCAUUCGAUACUGGGAAGCUAGAGUAUGGGAGAGGAUGGUAGAAUUCCAGGUGUAGCGGUGAAAUGCGUAGAGAUCUGGAGGAAUACCGAUGGCGAAGGCAGCCAUCUGGCCUAAUACUGACGCUGAGGUACGAAAGCAUGGGGAGCAAACAGGAUUAGAUACCCCUGUAGUCCCUGUCUCUUAUAA
rnacentral:rRNA from 1 species